AUCUAGCUGAUGAGUUUCAAAUAGGACGAAACGAGCUUCCAGUAU
rnacentral:hammerhead_ribozyme from 1 species